ensembl:lncRNA
GGGGCCGAGAGCUGUGGGAACAGAGCGAGGCCGGUGGAGUGAUUGGGAAAUGAGCGACACCUGCACCACUCACCGGUCUCAAGUCCCACGGAGGAGAUUGGGAGGAUACAAAAGAGGAACGACGACAGUAAAGGACGAGAGAGGACCAGGCCUGGGUUUUAUUUUGGGUUUGGUUUUUGUUUGUGCGUGGCAGUCGACCGUGAGGGGCUGUCGCGCUGUUUUAUGUUUAUUUGAUUAUUAAAGUUUUAUUUGAGUGUCCGCCGGUUCCCGCCUCCUCCUUCCCGUGAUUGUGAAGUUUUUAUUAUUACACUGAUGUCAUCUAUUUUAUCAGAAGAAAGAAAUUCAUAAAGUCAUUACUAUUAAACGUUGAUGGAAUAUUUGAAUCGGGUGGCUGGUUAUUUGUUAAUCUUGGAUUGUUUUGGUUAUUUUUAAUAAAUUUGUGGAUAUGCUCGGCUCUGGCAGUUUUUAGAGCCUGUCUAUUGCUGGACAUACUGUUUUUCCACGCAAUUCUAAAAACUUCCAAGUUAGUUUUUCUCCAUUUGUGCUCAAGACUAUGAGUUUCUUUCUUGAGAGAGUGGGUAUUACUGUUGUACCAUGGCACAGUACGUUUUUCUCUAACCUUUUUCAAUUUGAUGGGGGCAACAGCUUCUAAUGUAUUAGAGAAAAUAGUGCCCAUGUUGCCAGUCUAAGUUCAUGUGUAUUUUUAGGUACACAAAGCAGUUGAGAUAAAUCAGGCAGGUUAUUUGCGAAUCUGUCUUUGGUGGCUGGAAAUGGAAGCGUAAGCGUAAGUUCUACUAGGAAGACUAAAUGUCACGUCACAUUACAAUUAAGGUCUAGCCAAUCGGCUUUUAACACGAUGGAUAUAAAAGCGCACUACUCACAUCCUAUUUGUGUUUGCAGAUACCGCCGCUGUCAUUUCCCUCCAUCCUCCCCACCACCACCAGGUUGGCCCUGUCCAUGCGGGGGGUAGGCUCUGCCCUGCCUUCGUCUUCGGCAGGAUUAGCUGGUAUCUACAAACUUCAGAUCCACGCUACAGAUGGGGCCUACGCCAAAAUAAUUAAAUUUUUUGUGUUGUAAAUAAAUACUUCAGUCUUAUCUCUACCUCCUGAGUCUUUCUGGUAGAACAAUAGUUCUGCCCAGACGGUAACACUGAG